UCCAUCGCAAGAUCUUGAACCUUUCACUGGGGGAUCAGGAGCCUACGCGCGGUAGUGCACCAGCGAUCAUAAGAGGGUAGGAGAUCAGGCCAAUCAGAAGAAGGGCAACAAGUGAAGUAGCCACAAAGACAAGACUUGCUCCUGCUCCUCUUCUUGCUCCAUCAUUCCUAUGAGCUCUUCCAGUACUUUCUCUAGCUCUGCCUUUUCGCUCGUGCUAAGUACAGGUACAUCGGUGCCAGUACUAGC
rnacentral:misc_RNA from 1 species